rnacentral:rRNA from 1 species
GGGUAACCUACCUAUAAGACUGGGAUAACUUCGGGAAACCGGAGCUAAUACCGGAUAACAUUUGGAACCGCAUGGUUCUAAAGUGAAAGAUGGUUUUGCUAUCACUUAUAGAUGGACCCGCGCCGUAUUAGCUAGUUGGUAAGGUAACGGCUUACCAAGGCGACGAUACGUAGCCGACCUGAGAGGGUGAUCGGCCACACUGGAACUGAGACACGGUCCAGACUCCUACGGGAGGCAGCAGUAGGGAAUCUUCCGCAAUGGGCGAAAGCCUGACGGAGCAACGCCGCGUGAGUGAUGAAGGGUUUCGGCUCGUAAAACUCUGUUAUUAGGGAAGAACAAAUGUGUAAGUAACUGUGCACGUCUUGACGGUACCUAAUCAGAAAGCCACGGCUAACUACGUGCCAGCAGCCGCGGUAAUACGUAGGUGGCAAGCGUUAUCCGGAAUUAUUGGGCGUAAAGCGCGCGUAGGCGGUUUCUUAAGUCUGAUGUGAAAGCCCACGGCUCAACCGUGGAGGGUCAUUGGAAACUGGGGAACUUGAGUGCAGAAGAGGAAAGUGGAAUUCCAUGUGUAGCGGUGAAAUGCGCAGAGAUAUGGAGGAACACCAGUGGCGAAGGCGACUUUCUGGUCUGUAACUGACGCUGAUGUGCGAAAGCGUGGGGAUCAAACAGGAUUAGAUACCCUGGUAGUCCACGCCGUAAACGAUGAGUGCUAAGUGUUAGGGGGUUUCCGCCCCUUAGUGCUGCAGCUAACGCAUUAAGCACUCCGCCUGGGGAGUACGACCGCAAGGUUGAAACUCAAAGGAAUUGACGGGGACCCGCACAAGCGGUGGAGCAUGUGGUUUAAUUCGAAGCAACGCGAAGAACCUUACCAAAUCUUGACAUCCUUUGAAAACUCUAGAGAUAGAGCCUUCCCCUUCGGGGGACAAAGUGACAGGUGGUGCAUGGUUGUCGUCAGCUCGUGUCGUGAGAUGUUGGGUUAAGUCCCGCAACGAGCGCAACCCUUAAGCUUAGUUGCCAUCAUUAAGUUGGGCACUCUAGGUUGACUGCCGGUGACAAACCGGAGGAAGGUGGGGAUGACGUCAAAUCAUCAUGCCCCUUAUGAUUUGGGCUACACACGUGCUACAAUGGACAAUACAAAGGGCAGCUAAACCGCGAGGUCAUGCAAAUCCCAUAAAGUUGUUCUCAGUUCGGAUUGUAGUCUGCAACUCGACUACAUGAAGCUGGAAUCGCUAGUAAUCGUAGAUCAGCAUGCUACGGUGAAUACGUUCCCGGGUCUUGUACACACCGCCCGUCACACCACGAGAGUUUGUAACACCCGAAGCCGGUGGAGUAACCAUUUAUGGAGCUAGCCGUCGAAGGUGGGACAAAUGAUUGGGGUGAAGUCGUAACAAGGU